UGCCAGCAGCCGCGGUAAUACGUAUGUCGCAAGCGUUAUCCGGAAUUAUUGGGCAUAAAGGGCGUCUAGGCGGUUUAGAAAGUCUGAUGUGAAAAUGCGGGGCUCAACCCCGUAUUGCGUUGGAAACUACUAGACUAGAGUAUUGGAGAGGUAAGCGGAACUACAAGUGUAGAGGUGAAAUUCGUAGAUAUUUGUAGGAAUGCCAAUUGGGAAGCCAGCUUACUGGACAAAUACUGACGCUGAAGCGCGAAAGCUAGGGGAGCAAACAGGAUUAGAUACCCUGGUAGUCCUAGCUGUAAACGAUGAUCACUGGGUGUGGGGGGUCGAACCUCUGUGCCGAAGUUAAUACGAUAAGUGAUCCGCCUGGGGAGUACGUUCGCAAGAAUGAAACUCAAAUAAAUUGACGG
rnacentral:rRNA from 1 species